rnacentral:tRNA from 1 species
GGGGGCGUAGCUCAGUUGGUAGAGCACCAGCUUUGCAAGCUGGGGGUCGCGGGUUCGAUCCCUGUCGCCUCCACCA